UGCAGUCGAGCGGACAGAUGGGAGCUUGCUCCCUGAUGUUAGCGGCGGACGGGUGAGUAACACGUGGGUAACCUGCCUGUAAGACUGGGAUAACUCCGGGAAACCGGGGCUAAUACCGGAUGCUUGAUUGAACCGCAUGGUUCAAUUAUAAAAGGUGGCUUUUAGCUACCACUUACAGAUGGACCCGCGGCGCAUUAGCUAGUUGGUGAGGUAACGGCUCACCAAGGCAACGAUGCGUAGCCGACCUGAGAGGGUGAUCGGCCACACUGGGACUGAGACACGGCCCAAACUCCUACGGGAGGCAGCAGUAGGGAAUCUUCCGCAAUGGACGAAAGUCUGACGGAGCAACGCCGCGUGAGUGAUGAAGGUUUUCGGAUCGUAAAACUCUGUUGUUAGGGAAGAACAAGUACCGUUCGAAUAGGGCGGUACCUUGACGGUACCUAACCAGAAAGCCACGGCUAACUACGUGCCAGCAGCCGCGGUAAUACGUAGGUGGCAAGCGUUGUCCGGAAUUAUUGGGCGUAAAGCGCGCGCAGGCGGUUUCUUAAGUCUGAUGUGAAAGCCCCCGGCUCAACCGGGGAGGGUCAUUGGAAACUGGGGAACUUGAGUGCANAAAAGGAGAGUGGAAUUCCACGUGUAGCGGUGAAAUGCGUANAGAUGUGNAGGAACACCAGUGGCGAAGGCGACUCUCUGGUCUGUAACUGACGCUGAGGCGCGAAAGCGUGGGGAGCGAACAGGAUUAGAUACCCUGGUAGUCCACGCCGUAAACGAUGAGUGCUAAGUGUUAGAGGGUUUCCGCCCUUUAGUGCUGCAGCAAACGCAUUAAGCACUCCGCCUGGGGAGUACGGUCGCANGACUGAAACUCAAGGAAUUGACGGGGGCCCGCACAAGCGGUNNNCAUGNNGUUUANNCNANCACGCGANANNUUACCAGGUCUGACNUCNNUGANACCNUAGAGAUAGGC
rnacentral:rRNA from 1 species